UAGGGAAUCUUCGGCAAUGGACGAAAGUCUGACCGAGCAACGCCGCGUGAGUGAAGAAGGUUUUCGGAUCUUAAAACUCUGUUGUUAGUGAAGAACAAGGACGUUAGUAACUGAACGUCCCCUGACGGUAUCUAACCAGAAACCCACGGCUAACUACGUGCCAGCAGUCGCGGUAAUACGUAGGUGGCAAGCGUUGUCCGGAUUUAUUGGGCGUAAAUCGAGCGCAGGCGGUUUCUUAAGUCUGAUGUGAAAGCCCCCGGGUCAACCGGAGAGGGUCAUUGAAAACUGGGAGACUUGAGUGCAGAAGGGGAGAGUGGAAUUCCAUGUGUAGCGGUGAAAUGCGUAGAUAUAUGGAGGAACACCAGUGGCGAAGGAGGCUCUCUGGUCUGUAACUGACGCUGAGGCUCGAAAGCGUGGGGAGCAAACAGG
rnacentral:rRNA from 1 species